rnacentral:rRNA from 1 species
GUUGGGAAUCUUGGGCAAUGGGCGAAAGCCUGACCCAGCGACGCCGCGUGAGGGAAGAAGGCCUUCGGGUCGUAAACCUCUGUCAUCGGGGACGAAGGAAGUGACGGUACCCGAGGAGGAAGCCCCUGCUAACUACGUGCCAGCAGCCGCGGUAAUACGUAGGGGGCGAGCGUUGUCCGGAGUUACUGGGCGUAAAGGGCGUGUAGGCGGUUUGUUAAGUCAGGUGUGAAAAUUCAGGGCUCAACCCUGAACCUGCGCUUGAAACUGGCAGGCUAGAGGACAGGAGAGGGAAGUGGAAUCCCCGGUGUAGCGGUGAAAUGCGUAGAUAUCGGGGGGAACACCAGUGGCGAAGGCGGCUUCCUGGACUGUACCUGACGCUGAGGCGCGAAAGCUAGGGGAGCAAACAGGAUUAGAAACCCCUGUAGUCC